rnacentral:rRNA from 1 species
AUUGAACGCUGGCGGCAGGCUUAACACAUGCAAGUCGAGCGGGGAAAGGUAGCUUGCUACCUGACCUAGCGGCGGACGGGUGAGUAAUGCUUAGGAAUCUGCCUAUUAGUGGGGGACAACAUCUCGAAAGGGAUGCUAAUACCGCAUACGUCCUACGGGAGAAAGCAGGGGACCUUCGGGCCUUGCGCUAAUAGAUGAGCCUAAGUCGGAUUAGCUAGUUGGUGGGGUAAAGGCCUACCAAGGCGACGAUCUGUAGCGGGUCUGAGAGGAUGAUCCGCCACACUGGGACUGAGACACGGCCCAGACUCCUACGGGAGGCAGCAGUGGGGAAUAUUGGACAAUGGGGGGAACCCUGAUCCAGCCAUGCCGCGUGUGUGAAGAAGGCCUUUUGGUUGUAAAGCACUUUAAGCGAGGAGGAGGCUACCGAGAUUAAUACUCUUGGAUAGUGGACGUUACUCGCAGAAUAAGCACCGGCUAACUCUGUGCCAGCCGCCACCGUAA